UACGUAGGGCGCAAGCGUUAUCCGGAAUUAUUGGGCGUAAAGAGCUCGUAGGCGGUUUGUCGCGUCUGCCGUGAAAGUCCGGGGCUCAACUCCGGAUCUGCGGUGGGUACGGGCAGACUAGAGUGAUGUAGGGGAGACUGGAAUUCCUGGUGUAGCGGUGAAAUGCGUAGAGAUCCGGAGGAACACCAGUGGCGAAGGCGACACGCUGGGCCAUACCUGACGCUAAAGCGCGACAGCAUGGGGAGCAAACGGG
rnacentral:rRNA from 1 species